rnacentral:ncRNA from 2 species
AAUAAAAUAAAGGGGAGCUAGUGCAUGCUGGUUGAGAGGAAGUAAAUUGUAACUUCGACCCUUAUACCUGAUUUGGAUAAUGCCAACGUAGGAAACUUUGAAUUUGAAUGA